rnacentral:rRNA from 1 species
UGGGGAAUAUUGGACAAUGGGGGGAACCCUGAUCCAGCCAUGCCGCGUGUGUGAAGAAGGCCUUAUGGUUGUAAAGCACUUUAAGCGAGGAGGAGGGUACUGGUAUUAAUACUACCAGCUACUGGACGUUACUCGCAGAAUAAGCACCGGCUAACUCUGUGCCAGCAGCCGCGGUAAUACAGAGGGUGCGAGCGUUAAUCGGAAUUACUGGGCGUAAAGCGCGCGUAGGUGGUUCGUUAAGUUGAAUGUGAAAGCCCCGGGCUCAACCUGGGAACUGCAUCCAAAACUGGCGAGCUAGAGUAGGGCAGAGGGUGGUGGAAUUUCCUGUGUAGCGGUGAAAUGCGUAGAGAUCUGGAGGAAUACCGAUGGCGAAGGCAGCCAUCUGGCCUAACACUGACGCUGAGGUACGAAAGCAUGGGGAGCAAACAGG